rnacentral:rRNA from 1 species
AUACGGAGGGUGCGAGCGUUGUUCGGAAUUACUGGGCGUAAAGGGCGCGUAGGCGGCUUUACAAGUCAGGUGUGAAAGUCCACGGCUCAACCGUGGAAGUGCAUUUGAAACUGUAAGGCUUGAGUACUGGAGGGGAGUGUGGAAUUCCUGGUGUAGAGGUGAAAUUCGUAGAGAUCAGGAGGAAUACCGGUGGCGAAGGCGACACUCUGGACAGAUACUGACGCUGAGGCGCGAAAGCGUGGGGAGCAAACAGGAUUAGAUACCCUAGUAGUCC